GAUGAACGCUAGCGGGAGGCCUAACACAUGCAAGCCGAGCGGUAGAGUCUCUUCGGAGACUUGAGAGCGGCGCACGGGUGCGGAACACGUGUGCAACCUGCCUUUAUCUGGGGGAUAGCCUUUCGAAAGGAAGAUUAAUACCCCAUAAUAUACUGGAUGGCAUCAUCUGGUAUUGAAAACUCCGGUGGAUAGAGAUGGGCACGCGCAAGAUUAGAUAGUUGGUGAGGUAACGGCUCACCAAGUCAGCGAUCUUUAGGGGGCCUGAGAGGGUGAUCCCCCACACUGGUACUGAGACACGGACCAGACUCCUACGGGAGGCAGCAGUGAGGAAUAUUGGACGAUGGGUGAGAGCCUGAUCCAGCCAUCCCGCGUGAAGGACGACGGCCCUAUGGGUUGUAAACUUCUUUUGUAUAGGGAUAAACCUAGAUACGUGUAUCUAGCUGAAGGUACUAUACGAAUAAGCACCGGCUAACUCCGUG
rnacentral:rRNA from 1 species